rnacentral:tRNA from 1 species
UCUAAUAUGGCAGAACAGUGCCAUGAAUUUAAGCUUCAUUUACGAAGAACAAAUCUUCUAUUAGAA